UACGUAGGGAGCAAGCGUUGUCCGGAAUCAUUGGGCGUAAAGAGCGUGUAGGCGGUCCGGUAAGUCCGCUGUGAAAGUCGGGGGCUCAACCCUCGAAUGCCGGUGGAUACUGUCGGGCUAGAGUGCGGAAGAGGCGAGUAGAAUUCCUGGUGUAGCGGUGAAAUGCGCAGAUAUCAGGAGGAACACCUAUUGCGAAGGCAGCUCGCUGGGACGUAACUGACGCUGAGACGCGAAAGCGUGGGGAGCAAACAGG
rnacentral:rRNA from 1 species